rnacentral:lncRNA from 1 species
UUCAGCUCUGCAGAUCAACCCAGAGAGCGGAGGGGAGAGGGAGAGGCUGCAGGGACAGAAAUGUUCGAUGGACUGCGGGAAGAGAAGUGAGCGAGGGAGCGGCGGGCUGGAUGGCGCCGUGCUGCUCGCCUUUCCUCUGCUUUCUGGGAGACAGCAGGAAUCCUAGCACAGUGGAAGACCAGAUUCGUACGUUCUCAUGGAGGUCCCUACAUUCUUCACAGGCUGGAGUCUGUGACAGCACCAAAAUAGUACCUGUUCUUUACCCUGUCUCCAGAUGCUGCUAAAAGCACAGGGAAGAACACUGGAAAUGAUGACCACAUCAGCUUCAAAUGAAUUGCCCUGAAAUGGAGGCUGCCUGGGUUGUCCAGGCGGCCAAACCUACUGCAUGCACAAGGAUGUGCCCGUAAAUCCCACUGCUUUCAGUUCUGCUGGUUUCAGGCACUGCUGGAUGCUAACAAUUCACAGGUU